CCUACGGGAGGCAGCAGUGAGGAAUAUUGGUCAAUGGACGAGAGUCUGAACCAGCCAAGUAGCGUGAAGGAUGACUGCCCUAUGGGUUGUAAACUUCUUUUAUAAAGGAAUAAAACGAGGCACGUGUGCCUUUUUGCAUGUACUUUAUGAAUAAGGAUCGGCUAACUCCGUGCCAGCAGCCGCGGUAAUACGGAGGAUCCGAGCGUUAUCCGGAUUUAUUGGGUUUAAAGGGAGCGUAGAUGGGUUGUUAAGUCAGUUGUGAAAGUUUGCGGCUCAACCGUAAAAUUGCAAUUGAUACUGGCAGUCGUGAGUACAGUUGAGGUAGGCGGAAUUCGUGGUGUAGCGGUGAAAUGCUUAGAUAUCACGAAGAACCCCGAUUGCGAAGGCAGCUUACUAAACUGUGACUGACAUUGAUGCUCGAAAGUGUGGGUAUCAAACAGGAUUAGAUACCCGAGUAGAC
rnacentral:rRNA from 1 species